UCAGGCCUAACACAUGCAAGUCGAGCGAUGAAGCACCUUCGGGUGUGGAUUAGCGGCGAACGGGUGAGGAACACGUGAGGAAUCUGCCUUCCACUCUGGGAUAACUCCGGGAAACCGGGGCUAAUACCGGAUACUUUCAACUGGCGGCAUCGCCGGUUGAAGAAAGUUUUUCGGUGGAAGAUGACCUCGCGGCCUAUCAGCUUGUUGGUGAGGUAAUGGCUCACCAAGGCGACGACGGGUAGCCGGCCUGAGAGGGCGACCGGCCACACUGGGACUGAGACACGGCCCAGACUCCUACGGGAGGCAGCAGUGGGGAAUAUUGGGCAGUGGAGGAAACUCUGACCCAGCGACGCCGCGUGAGGGAUGAAAGGCUUCGGGUUGUAAACCUCUUUCAGCAGGGAAUAAGCGAAAGGAAG
rnacentral:rRNA from 1 species